rnacentral:rRNA from 1 species
GACGAACGCUGGCGGCGUGCUUAACACAUGCAAGUCGAACGGAAAGGCCCUGCUUUUGUGGGGUGCUCGAGUGGCGAACGGGUGAGUAACACGUGAGUAACCUGCCCUUUACUUUGGGAUAACUUCAGGAAACUGGGGCUAAUACCGGAUAGGAGCUCCUGCUGCAUGGUGGGGGUUGGAAAGUUUCGGCGGUUGGGGAUGGACUCGCGGCUUAUCAGCUUGUUGGUGGGGUAGUGGCUUACCAAGGCUUUGACGGGUAGCCGGCCUGAGAGGGUGACCGGCCACAUUGGGACUGAGAUACGGCCCAGACGCCUACGGGAGGCAGCAGUGGGGAAUAUUGCACAAUGGGCGGAAGCCUGAUGCAGCAACGCCGCGUGCGGGAUGACGGCCUUCGGGUUGUAAACCGCUUUCGCCUGUGACGAAGCGUGAGUGACGGUAAUGGGUAAAGAAGCACCGGCUAACUACGUG